AUACGGAGGGUGCGAGCGUUAAUCGGAAUUACUGGGCGUAAAGCACGCGUAGGCGGGCUGGUUAGUUGGGGGUGAAAUCCCAGGGCUUAACCCUGGAACUGCCUCCAAUACUGCCAGUCUAGAGUUCGAGAGAGGUGAGUGGAAUUCCUAGUGUAGAGGUGAAAUUCGUAGAUAUUGGGAAGAACACCAGUGGCGAAGGCGGCCACCUGGCCCGGUACUGACGCUGAGGUGCGAAAGCGUGGGGAGCAAACAGGAUUAGAAACCCGGGUAGUCC
rnacentral:rRNA from 1 species